GACGAACGCUGGCGGCGUGCUUAACACAUGCAAGUCGAACGGAAAGGCCCUGCUGUUGUGGGGUGCUCGGGUGGCGAACGGGUAAGUAACACGUAAGUAACCUGCCCUUGACUUUGGGAUAACUUCAGGUAACUUGGGCUAAUACCGGAUAGGAGCUCCUGCUGCAUGGUGGGGGGUGGAAAGUUUGGGCGGGUGGGGAUAGACUAGCGGCUUAUCAGCUUGUUGGUGGGGUAGUGGCUUACCAAGACUGUGACGGGUAGCCGGCCUGAGAGGGUGACCGGCGACCUUGGGCCUGAGAUACGGCGCAGAGGCCUACGUUAGGCAGCAGUGGGGAAUAUUGCACAAUGGGCCGAAGCCUGAUGUAGCAACGCUGCGGGCGGGAUGACGGCCUUCGGGUUGUAAACCGCUUUUGCCUGUGACGAAGCGUUAGUGGCGGUAAUGGGUAAAUAAGCACCGGCUAACUACGUG
rnacentral:rRNA from 1 species